GCAGCUCCGUGUACCCGGGCUGCGUGGACUUCUCCCCAAACGGGAGCGACUUCCCGUAGUAUCGCUGUGGUAAGGGAGGAAGGCUGACCUGGCUGCCCCCUGUGCCCAGCCGCCAUCUGGGGACCCCUGGAGCUGGCCGGCUGGCCAGGUGUGUGCAUCUGCUGCAGAUCUGCAGGACAGAGGGAGAGAGGUACCAGGUGAGGGGCAUCCCAGGGGUCUGGACUGUGGGAGGCCAGGAGGCAGUGACCUAGCCCUCCUCCACCCCCAGUCCACCCAGGACCCAGGCUGCUCAGUGCUUCUGGCCCACCUGCAAUAUGUCUGUGGGUCCAGGCCACCUCCUCCCACCUCUCCCAGGUCAGACAGAGAUCCUGGGACCAUGCCAGCCCCUGACCACUAUCCACUCUGCCUGCUCAGACCUCAGAGCUGCUGGCACUGGAGAGACACUGUUCCCAAAUCUGUCCAGAGCUCCACUCCACGCCUGCUGCACCUGCCUUAGGGCCCUGCUGGUCUCUGUAGUAAACCCAUAAGGAGAUACUCUUAGUGAUGGUGAAGCUGGGACUCUGUGUGAUGCAUGGUCACUGUUAUCUAUUUCACAAGCUACUUCAGUACCCCAACAGAACAGCCUCCUUACACAGUAGUGUCCAGCCCCCUCCAAGCCUGGCAGCAUCCUCUGCUCUCCCUGGGAGCUGAGUUCAGGUGUGUCACUGGGUAGACUAAGCAGUGCCCAGAGGUGACUACACCCCUGCUGUGUAAGUCCCUGCUUUUCCUGGCUGAUCCACUGUAGAUGUCACCACAUCGUGUGUGUCCAUUCACCUGUCAACAGACACUUGAGUUGCUCCACGUCUUUGCUUUUGUGAAUAAACUGCAAUAAAUACAGGUGUACAACACUA